UCCCACGUUGUCUAGUGGUUAGGAUAUCUGGCUUUCACCCAGAAGGCCCGGGUUCGAUUCCCGGCGUGGGAA
rfam:Lutzomyia longipalpis Contig17287, whole genome shotgun sequence.